AACGCCCGAUCUCGUCUGAUCUCGGAAGCUAAN
rnacentral:rRNA from 1 species